rnacentral:rRNA from 1 species
CCCUUAGAUGUCCGGGGCCGCACGCGCGCUACACUGAAGGAAUCAGCGUGGCUUUCUCCCUGACCCGAAAGGGUUGGGAAACCCGUUGAAUCUCCUUCGUGAUAGGGAUUGGGGCUUGAAAUUGUUCCCCAUGAACGAGGAAUUCCCAGUAAGCGCGAGUCAUAAGCUCGCGUUGAUUACGUCCCUGCCCUUUGUACACACCGCCCGUCGCUACUACCGAUUGAACGGUUUAGUGAGAGCCUCGGAUUGGUCUCGGCCCGCUCUUUACCGGGCGGCGCCGUUGGUCGAGAAGACGCUCGAACUUGAUCGUUUAGAGGAAGUAAAAGUCGUAACA